rnacentral:misc_RNA from 1 species
CGCUGCCAUCCCGGAAACCACCGCUAAAAAAGCCUUGAUCUUGGGCGGUUGCCUUCGGACCCAUGUGGCCACUGCGUUGAUCGGCCUCUUUGUCGCCUUCAUCUUAUGUCCCCUUAUCUCUAUCAAAUAAAGCAGUCACUUGCAGAAUCCAGUGAUGGAAAUAGUGAGGCAAGUUGGAGUCAGAGAAGCAAAGCACCUUGAAUCUUGAUGAUCUCGUCUUAGAUCCGCUAAGCAGGAGGUACACAGGAGAAAGAUGGGAACUUGAAGAUUAAAGGACUAGGCUUUAUG